GACGAACGCUGGCGGCGCGCUUAACACAUGCAAGUCGAGCGAUGCAACUUUAACAGAACCCUUCGGGGCGAGGAUAAAGUGGAUUAGCGGCGGACGGGUGAGUAACACGUGAGUAACCUGCCUUAGACAUUGGGAUAGCCUCGGGAAACCGGGAUUAAUCCCAAAUAAAAUCAUAAUGACACAUGUCAUAACGAUCAAAACUCCGGUGGUCUAAGAUGGACUCGCGUCCCAUUAGCUAGUUGGUAGAGUAAAAGCCUACCAAGGCGACGAUGGGUAGCCGGUCUGAGAGGGUGAACGGCCACACUGGAACUGAGACACGGUCCAAACUCCUACGGGAGGCAGCAGUGGGGAAUAUUGGACAAUGGAGGGAACUCUGAUGCAGCGACGCCGCGUGAACGAAGAAGGCUUUCGAGUCGUAAAGUUCUUUUAUAUGGGAAGAUAAUGACGGUACCAGAAGAAAAAGCCCCGGCUAACUACGUG
rnacentral:rRNA from 1 species